rnacentral:lncRNA from 1 species
UAGAAGACAAUUGUUGUAAGUGUAGCAAAAAAAAUUUUCAAUGAACGAUAUGAAUAAACGAUUUGUCCAUGAAUGAAAGCUAUAUUGCGUACUGCAAGGAUAAAGCAUGAAUCUCAAGUAGCCUGCCAACGAGUGCCGUGGCUGCCAUAGCUAACAGACCCAAGACCACAGCUCGCAGUAUUGCACGCACUCUUUUGGCACCUCCAAUGUGAGCACCCACAAACCCUAACAUACCAAGAAAAAACAUUGUAGCAAUUGGAAGAACAAGCGAUAGAUAUUCUAAAGGAGUAAUAAGAGAUGUCAAAAGAGGAAAUAUACCACCAACUGAGAAGGAAGCUGCUGAAGAUAGUGCUGCCAAAGUAGGUUUCGCUGUUGUGUGAAUAUUUAUGCCCAACUCAUCUCUAGCAUGGGCUUCCAGAGCAUUAUAUUCCAUCAAUUGAACGGCAACAGUACGUGAUAGCUCUUCAUCUAACCCUCGCCCUCUAUAAAUAGCGGCUAACUCAUCCACUUCUGCAUCCCAAUCAGCGUCCAUCUCUCUUCGUUCAAGUUGCAAAUCGGCAUCCUCUAAAUCUGCCUGUGAACUCACAGAUACAUAUUCUCCUACCGCCAUUGAUAGAGCACCAGACAUUAAACCGGCGACGCCAGUAAUGAGAAUAACUUUUAUAUCAGCAUUAGCUGCAACAACACCUACUAAUAAACCCGAAAGUGACAAAAUUCCAUCAUUGGCACCUAGCACUGAUGCGCGUAGCCAUCCAAUUUUAUUCACUGAAUGGGCUUCUUUAGGACGAGCUUCGAAUAUACUCCACAUUAGACAAAGAUAAAAGUUUAACGAUAGUGUAGAGGUAGUGAUUGAAUAAUUCCUUGAUAAAAAGUGCUUCUGGUUCCUAUUGUAAAAAGAUGAAGUUGCAAAGAACAAAAUAGAAAGAAAGAAGUUGAAAACUGCAAUUAGUAGGACACUGAAAACGGAGGCAUGGUGUCAAAAUAAAUAUUUGAUAUAGAAGCCUUUUGAUUGGUCAACGGGAUUAACGCGGCUUAAGAACCUUGUUUAAGUACUGAUAACAUCAAAAUGCUGGGAAUGUUUAACGCUAUGUUAACUUUCGGUAUCCUUAGAGGCUAUCACAAAUGAAUUCUAAAAAUGGCGGAACAUUUUUUACGACUUAUUUCAAUCGGUGAAAAUAUUAACAACCUGAAUAAUAUUUUGACUGUGUAUGCCCACAAAUAAGUGCUCAAUUUUCAUUUCUAAUUAUAAAAUUCAGUACUUUUUGGAAGACAUAUCUUGCUUUUUGAUUAGUAAUAUUAGAGUACUAGAAAUGUAAACUUCUUUCAUCUUUACUUAAUCCCCAACAUAGUUUUUGAAUGGUCUAGCGAUCCAGUGCCUGAGCGUGGAUUUAGAAGUCGAAGACCUUGUUGCAUAAGUGUCGUUUAAAUAAGAGCAUCACGGAUGUAGGCAUCCAUACAGUUGGUGAAAACGACCUAAAGUAGAAAUGCGAAAUUAAUCAAUCUGUAAUAGUACAUUGAUAUGCAAGGAUAUGUUAAUAUCGAAAAAAAUUGCCUAGCUUUUAAUAUGCCACUAUAUUAAGAAAAAGGGCAAUCAAUACUCCAAGUAACUUGUAUGAACAUUGCGACGUUUUAGCGAGUCGUGGAUUUACAAAGACUAUAAUACCUCAUAAUCCGAAAAAUGAUAUUCUUAAAAAUGAAUAAAUGGUAACACAUAUCGACAUUAAAGCGCUGAACCGAAUGAGUAUUUCGUUGUCUAUAGCAAUUCAUCUAUUAUUGACUAGUGUUUAAAGUAUUCAAUUAACACCUAUAUAAUUAGGUAAACAUGACUUAGCUUUGUAGCCCCAGCUGUAGAACCGGUUUCAGUACUGAUUUCUUUAGUAAACACUAAACGGAUAUAUUUUGAGGUGUAAGCAGCUUAAAUAGCUUUAAAACUUAAUACAGUCAGAUUUCUAUGCUUCUAAUUAAAGCAACAUAUGAUUAAAACGACCAAGGGAACACCAGAUAGCUAGCUAG